AUGUUUGGCAAACGUUUCCAACUGUGGCUUCUUCCAUUCGACUAUCCCCUUGACUUAGUGAUUACCCUUGCAGAAUUUUGUCAAAACUUUGAAGAAGAAACCAGCCGACUGGAGCCAAACCUCGACCCCGUCAAUUCUCCGGUGAAUGACGAAGUUGCCAUGGAUGUUUUCCGACUGGAGUCUCGCGUUGCAGCUGUCGUGGAUUAUCUCGCAAGGCUGAAGGCCGCCACAUCUCGCAUCGACUCGACGCUCUGGCCUGAGGAGACACUUCAGAAUGAUCUUGAGUCACUAAUGGCCCGCUUGAACACGAUCCCUGGUCGAGUGCAGGAAUGGAAGAAGUCCUCGGCUCGGUGUGGUGCAGAUGUCGCUCUGUGUCUGGCCCGAGUCCACUGCAAAGAUGCACGAGAGGAGAAGCUGGCGGCUCUUCGGGUGGCCAAUACCAAGAAGCACGACUUCAGGUCCUUUAUGGAGACUUUCCUUGCAGCUGCCACUCGUAUCGCCGACGGAAUUGACCUUGAUGAAUUUGUUGCACCUUCCAGCCCUCCACAGGAGGGGUAA
rnacentral:rRNA from 1 species